CCUGUUUUGCUCCCUGUUGCCUCCCAAAGGUCUCAGACAGCGCCUGGCACAUAGUAGAUACUCAAUGAGUGUCUGUUGAGUAAACAGUUACAGGUGAUAGGUGUGUACCGAUCUUCCACUGGAGUGCCAACACUUGCCUUCUGGACGUCAGGCUGCCUUAAAGGGUCAUGCACUGGCAGGGGCAGUGCGGACGAGCCACAGGAAAAACUAAUAUUCUUUUCCCUCGGAUUCCCUGAGAACUUCCUUCAGACUUUUAGGACAGAAGAGGGGUCUGUUAUCCUUAGAAGACGAUGAACUUCUUAAUAACCUCGAAUGGAGGCCUGCUUCUCACUGUCUCUGGCUUUGCUGUUACUCAUCUGCCCUGUUUUGCUCUGAGCAGUGCUGGUGACCUGGCAGAUGGGGUCUUCGGAGGCCCCGGGGGCUGAGCUGCUGUUCACAUGGUGACCCCAGGAAUCCGUCUUGGGUCGUCAGUGCCCAGGUCUCCCAAGAAUGGACUUGCUGCUGAUGCCUGAUCUCAGGACUCUAGUCUCCACACUCCCAGCCUUGACAUGUGUGUUCGUGCUUAGUCAGAGGUGAGAGACACAGAACCCAGACACACCAAGGGAAAGCUCCAGGAGAAGACAGAGGCCGAGACACACUCUUCCUUGGGCUUCCUGGGAGAGCCAGCUCUGCUGACGUGUGGGUUUCAGGCUUCUGGCCUCCGCUAAAGUGGAGAAGACGUUGCUCUAAGUCAACCGGUUUGUGUGAUGUGUUACAG
ensembl:lncRNA